rnacentral:rRNA from 1 species
CACCGCGGUUAUACGAGAGGCCCAAGCUGAUAGAUAUCGGCGUAAAGCGUGGUUAAGAUUUUAAUAUAAACUAAAGCCGAACACCUUCAAAGCUGUUAUACGCACCCGAAGGUAAGAAGUUCAACCACGAAAGUGGCUUUAUAACCCCUGAACCCACGAAAGCUACGACA